rnacentral:rRNA from 1 species
CCUACGGGAGGCAGCAGUGGGGAAUUUUCCGCAAUGGGCGAAAGCCUGACGGAGCAAUACCGCGUGAGGGAGGAAGGCUCUUGGGUUGUAAACCUCUUUUUUCAGGGAAGAUAAUGACGGUACCUGAGGAAUAAGCAUCGGCUAACUCCGUGCCAGCAGCCGCGGUAAUACGGAGGAUGCAAGCGUUAUCCGGAAUGAUUGGGCGUAAAGCGUCCGCAGGUGGUUUUAAAAGUCUGUUGUUAAAGCGUGAGGCUUAACCUCAUAAGGGCAAUGGAAACUGUAAGACUAGAGUACGUUCGGGGCAAGGGGAAUUCCCAGUGUAGCGGUGAAAUGCGUAGAGAUUGGGAAGAACACCGGUGGCGAAAGCGCCUUGCUAGGCCGUAACUGACACUGAGGGACGAAAGCUAGGGGAGCGAAUGGGAUUAGAUACCCCAGUAGUCCUAGCCGUAAACGAUGGAUACUAGGCGUUGUCUGUAUCGACCCGGACAGUGCCGUAGCUAACGCGUUAAGUAUCCCGCCUGGGGAGUACGCACGCAAGUGUGGAACUCAAAGAUAGUACGGA